rnacentral:ncRNA from 2 species
CGUCCAUCCAGAGCGGCCGAGAGACCGGGCUCGUCGACGCCGCAGCAACCACGCGCACCGCGCGGGGUGCUACCGCCCGGAUCGAUGGGAG